GGGGCAUGGGGAUGGGCCUGCACGCUGACCACAUCCUACAGAGAAGGGGACCAGUAGAGGACAGGGAAACCCUGACCUUCAGGACCGUCCGGGAAACGACCUCUGAUGACCAUAAGCUACUCGUGAUAUUCUGUGGCAUCAGGGAGUGGACCAGGGAGCCCGCUGACCUGGAGUUAGGGUCCUUCCCAUGGGGAGCCAGGCACGGUCAUGGGAAAGUCAAGGCCAGGGGUCUAGAGGUCCUGCGACUUCAUUUCUGCCCUGCUGCUUGGACGGGUCACAGCCCCUGGCAGGCAGCCAGAGCCAGGGGCCCUGAGCUGCAGACACGCUGCAGUGCAACCGUGAAGCUUGGUGACAUGGCCCUGUGUCCCUGGGCUUGGACAGAGAUUGGAAGCUGCACACCCCCAAGGAGUCUGGGAGGAUGGGGAGGUGCUGGCCUGGCCUCAGGGGACAACUGGGGAAGAGGUGCCUCUGUCCUCCAUAGCACAAGGGUUUCGAAGUUUCCUGUGGUCAGGAGGGCUCUGAAGAAGGGGUGCAGCC